rnacentral:rRNA from 1 species
CGCGUAGGCGGGGAUACAAGUCAGGUGUGAAAUCUAUGGGCUUAACCCAUAAACUGCAUUUGAAACUGUAUCUCUUGAGUGUCGGAGAGGUAGACGGAAUUCCUAGUGUAGCGGUGAAAUGCGUAGAUAUUAGGAGGAACACCAGUGGCGAAGGCGGUCUACUGGACGACAACUGACGCUGAGGCGCGAAAGUGUGGGUAUCAAACA